AGAGAAUGAUUUUCAGAAAUUACAAAUAGGAGAUUUCAUUGUUCUACGAAAAUGAAACUAGUAUAUCAAAACUUGAAAUGUUUGGGUGGAAAAUAAGAAGAGGUAAAAAAAGAAAUGGGAAGCGCGCUUUUUCCAGAUCUGAGCCGCGACGGUUUACAUAGAACAGCCGCAAUGUCCUAGAAUUCAAAUAGCGACGACUGUUUCAAGGAACCGCCGCUAUCAUUCCGCCGUUAUUUUCAAAUUAUCUUGUAGUGGAAGACAAUAUACCAAGUUCAAUCCCUACUUGAACCUUGACCUAGACAUUAAUCUCUACUUGCAUUGAACUACAUUAGGCUUUUUAGGUAAUUUCACAAGUUGUAUCAUAGCAUCUUCAGCUCUUAGAGUGUACAUUUUCAUCAUCAUGAAGAUUCACUUGUCCCACAAGUUGUACAAUACAUUCUUCAAUCCAUA
rnacentral:lncRNA from 1 species